GAUGAACGCUGGCGGCGUGCCUAAUACAUGCAAGUCGAACGAGGUCUUCGGACCUAGUGGCGAACGGGUGAGUAACACGUUGGUACCUACCCCGAAGUGGGGAAUAACUGGCCGAAAGGUCGGCUAAUACCGCAUAAUACCGCAAGGUUAAAGCAGUAAUGCGCUUCGGGAGGGGCCUGCGUCCCAUUAGCUUGUUGGUAGUGUAAUGGACUACCAAGGCGACGAUGGGUAGCUGGAUCGAGAGGUUGACCAGCCACACUGGGACUGAGAUACGGCCCAGACUCCUACGGGAGGCAGCAGUAAGGAAUCUUCCACAAUGGACGAAAGUCUGAUGGAGCAACGCCGCGUGCAGGAUGACGGCCUUCGGGUUGUAAACUGCUUUUAUACGGGAAGAUUAUGACGGUGCCGUAUGAAUAAGGACCGGCUAACUACGUGCCAGCCGCCGCCGUAA
rnacentral:rRNA from 1 species